GUGGGCACACACAUAGACACCAACGACGGUGUCUCCCUCGUCGGUGUCGUUGCACUCAACCGCCAAGCGGCGUCUCCCUCCUCACUCUCCCCCUUUCUCUCUAUCAAAAACCUUAGACACCCAAUUUCCAACCACCGCUGACGCUCGCUGCCUGCCGCCUCUUCCUUCAAAAUCCGGCAGCCUAUCGUUGGCUACCACCUUCACCGUCGUCUCCUCUUU
rnacentral:lncRNA from 1 species